UACGUAGGGGGCAAGCGUUGUCCGGAUUUAUUGGGCGUAAAGAGCGUGUAGGCGGCCAGAUAGGUCCGUUGUGAAAACUGGAGGCUCAACCUCCAGCUGUCGACGGAAACCGUGUGGCUAGAGUCCGGAAGAGGAGAGUGGAAUUCCUGGUGUAGCGGUGAAAUGCGCAGAUAUCAGGAAGAACACCAAUGGCGAAGGCAGCUCUCUGGGACGGUACUGACGCUGAGACGCGAAAGCGUGGGGAGCGAACAGG
rnacentral:rRNA from 1 species